UUUUUUUUUUUUUUUUUGGUUCCCAAGUUUCAUUCAAGAACUCAUACAAAAUAUUCUGGAUAAAUGAAAUUUAAUCCUCAUCUUCCUCCUCUUCUUCGUCCUGGUUAAUCUGGAAGUAAUGUAAUUCAUAACUGUCUUUGCUGUUAGCAACUACGCACAACCAGUCACGUAAAUUAUUAUUCUUCAAAUAUUUUUUGGUGAGAUAUUUCAAAUACCUUUUGGAGAAAGCACCUCAGAUGUCAUAGUGAUCUUGCUCUUGCUCCUUUCGAUGGUCGCCACCCCUCCACCAAGGUUCCCAGCUUUUCCGUUCACUUUGAUCCUUUCUUGCAAAAACUGCUCAAAAUUGGCAGCAUCUAUGAUUCCAUCUUCUACAGGGUGGGUGCAAUCAAGAGGAAACUUCAGAACCUGCUUCUUUUUUUUGCCCCCCUUCGCCACAAGCUUUUUCACAGGUGCCAUGGCGGCAGUGGAGUUAACAUUGUUGCUUUUUAUGUAGACUAACAUUUUAUUUUCUCUAUCUUCAAUAUAACUUAUUUUCUCUUUUUCUUAUUACAAAAAUAAAGCAUAUUUAUUCUGGAAAAUUGAGAAAAUACAACGAAGAACAAAGAAGGAAAUAAAAGCCAUUUAUAGUUCCCUUACCCAGAUACAGCCAUGCUAACCGUUUUUUCCUUUCAGUUCUUUAUCCAGACAUUACAAAAAUAUAACCGUCCUGUUCAUACCACACUUAAAAUUUUGCUUGCUGUGGACAUUUUUCUAUACUGGUAAACAUGAACAAAUAAUUCCUUACUUUUUUUCUUUUUUCUUUGUUCCUUCAUUCCUGUCUUUCUUUUGCAAAAACAACUUUAACUUUUCAUGGUUACAAAAGUAAUACAUGUUCAUUGUUAAAUACACACACACGUGUGUGUGUGUUUGUGUGAAUUAGACAGCACAAAAGGAACUUCUACCAUUUAAAGCAGGAGUCUGCAAACUUUUUCUCUAUAGGGCCACAUAGUGAAUAUUUUUAGCUUUGUGGGCAACACAAACUCACAAACUGUGUUGCAGCUACUCAACUGUGCCAUUUUAGUACAAAAGCAGCCAUAGACAACAUGUAAAAGAAAGAGUGUGGCUGUGUUCCAAUAAAACUUUAUUUAGUGAGUCCAGGGUCUAGUUUGCUGACCCCAUCUGGGGGAAAGCACUAAUAACGUACAGACACAUGCUUGCUUUUUUUUUUUUUUUUUUUCUCUCACAAAAAUGGAAUCAUACUACAUAAACUGUCUUGUAUGUAUUUAAAUAUUCAUUUGUGUCUGUUGUGUGCCAGCUCAUAAACAAUGGUGUAUACAAUGGUGAACAGGACAGACAAGGACCGUGCUUUCCUGGAGUUUACUGCAGGAGACACGAUUAACAUAGUAAGUGCUCUGAAAGUAAUGAGGGGGCUGUGAUGGAGAAAAAUCAGCUUUCUAGUGUAGCAUAACUUUUGCAACCAAUCUCUUCUUUACGGGCAUUUAAUUUCCUUAAUUGUUUCUAUUAUAGACUACACUGUCAUAAACAUUUUUGGGACUAAGCCUUUAUGAAAAACCAUCAUUUUUCCCUUAGGCUAAAUUCCUUGAAAUAGAAUAGCUGAGUCAAAAGGCAUA
ensembl:lncRNA